GCUGCUCAUUUUGGCAGCAUAUACAAAACCUAAAUUGGAAUGAUAUGGAGAAGAAUUGCAUGGUCCUUGUGUAAAUAUGACAAACAAAUUCUAGAAGUGUUCCAUACUUUU
rnacentral:snRNA from 1 species